CAUAAUACAACUGUUUUACUCUACAAACCUAUUUAUUAGAAUGUAUCUUAUUUUCGAUUUAUCAGUUUGACUGUCAUUUGGGUAUCUUUCGUCUCUCUUCUAUUAACAAAUCCUUGUUCAUCUUUCUAAACCUGUGUAACCAUAUAGGUUAGCCGUAUAAUUAACUACAUUUAUAUAUCCGACUGUGCAAGACCCUCAUGAGUCACGGUCAGUCAAAGUCUUUAAAUCUCAUCGUCGACAUUUAUAUAUAAUAACCUCGCUCAUUUUUAUUUUCUUAUCAAUGUAAGUUUUUAUUACCUAUGAUAAUUUUCUGAUACCAUCUAAGCAUUC
rnacentral:lncRNA from 1 species